GGAGACCGCCGCUGUUUCGGUUCAGCCGUUCCUUCUUCGUUCGAGUGGUUGUGGUUGCUGAGAAAGCGGGUUGGAGCUGAGGUUUUGACUGCAGUCGAUUCGGGUCAAUACGAUAGGAGUCAGUUAGCGAGUUUGGGUUGUGAUUUCAACGUAUCGAGGUUAUUCCUUUUCAGGAUAUGGAAGACGAAGCUUCAGGAGAGUUAUGUUUAUUUUCUGUUUAUUCGGUCUUUUUGUAUCACCGUAGCUAUUAUUUUU